UGAAUACGAGAUGCUACGGCGUCGAAGCAGUCUAUGUCAUACUUCCAAGAAAAGCUUGCUCUGUCAUGAACAAAUAAUGCCUGUACCAUAACCGACACAGGUGGGUAGGUAGAGUAUACUAAGGGGCGCGAGAUAACUCUCUCUAAGGAACUCGGCAAAAUGACUCCGUAACUUCGGGAGAAGGAGUGCCUUAUUUAUAAGGUUGCAAUAACAAGACCCAAGCAACUGUUUAUCAAAAACACAGGUCUCCGCUAAGUCGUAAGACGAUGUAUGGGGGCUGACGCCUGCCCAGUGCCAGAAGGUUAAAGAAGUUGGUUAGCAUUAGCGAAGCUGAUGACUGAAGCCCUGGUGAACGGCGGCCGUAACUAUAACGGUCCUAAGGUAGCGAAAUUCCUUGUCGGGUAAGUUCCGACCCGCACGAAAGGCGUAAUGAUUUGGGUACUGUCUCAGAGAGGGACUCGGUGAAAUAGACUUGUCUGUGAAGAUGCGGACUACCUGCACCUGGACAGAAAGACCCUAUGAAGCUUUACUGUAACCUGAAAUUGAAAUUGGACUUUAUUUGCGCAGUAUAGGUGGGAGGCUUUGAAGAUAUUCUUGCGGGAAUGUUGGAGCCAUCAGUGAGAUACCACUCUUGUAAUGUUAGAUUUCUAACUUUGUAUCAUUAUCUGGUCAAAGAACAGUUUCAGGCGGGCAGUUUGACUGGGGCGGUCGCCUCCUAAACGGUAACGGAGGCGCACAAAGGUUUCCUCUGAACGGGUAGAAAUCGUAUCUAGAGUGUAAAGGCAUAAGGAAGCUUGACUGUGAGACCUACAAGUCGAGCAGGGACGAAAGUCGGUCUUAGUGAUCUGACGGUGCUGAGUGGAAAGGCCGUCACUCAACGGAUAAAAGUUACUCUAGGAUAACAGGCUGAUCUCCCCCAAGAGUUCACAUCGACGGGGAGGUUUGGCACCUCGAUGUCGGCUCAUCGCAUCCUGGGGCGGUAGUACGUCCCAAGGGUUGGGCUGUUCGCCCAUGAAAGCGGUACGCGAGCUGGGUUCAGAACGUCGUGAGACAGUUCGGUCCAUAUCCGGUGUAGGCGUUAGAAUAUUGAGAGGAGCCUUCUCUAGUACGAGAGGACCGAGAAGGACACACCUCUGGUGUACCAGUUAUCGUGCCAACGGUAAACGCUGGGUAGCUAUGUGUGGAGCGGAUAACCGCUGAAAGCAUCUAAGUGGGAAGCCCACCUCAAGAUAAGUAUUCUCAU
rnacentral:rRNA from 1 species